rnacentral:misc_RNA from 1 species
GAAACGCUCAGCACCAAUGGUGAUCACCUGCCCAUCUGGGAGCUCAUAGCUCUUCUCAACAGAAGAGCUGGUCUUUGAAGUCUCGAGUUCCUGUUCAUAGUCAAGAGCUAUGUAAGCGAGCUUUUCUUUCACGUCCCUGACAAUUUCUCGCUCAGCUGAGGUGGUGAACGAGUAACCACGCUCGGUCAGGAUCUUCAUCAAACUAUCAGUGAGGUCACGUCCUGCCAAGUCAAGACGGAGAAUGGCAUGUGGAAGGGCAUACCCUUCAUAAAUUGGGACAGUGUGGCUGACACCAUCACCAGAG